CAAGAUACAGCAACACUGCAGUAGAUUUAGAUCCAAGAAGGGAAGAAAAGAUCACAAAGCAUUCUCUGCAGACCUAGGCAUUCGUCGUAGCAUCUUGUAUCCGAGUCUUCCACCAGCUCCUCCUGGUUUCUUAGUCUUACAGCUGGAUUGAUCCAUCUAAAGUGAGACACUAGAAAUCUCUCUGCACACACUGCUUCUUGAGUGAUGCUAGAGCAGACAUCAGUGGGUCCUGCUUCAGCACCUCCUCCAGCUGCAGCGAGCAUCGCGCUGGUGCUGCAAAUUGAUCCCAGUGCAGGGGGCUGCUGAGGUGUAGAGCACCAAGGGCUUGAGGAGAUGCAGGAGCAAACAGGAGGGAUAGAGCACAAAGCAGCUGCCUCUGUGGCUGGAGAGAAGAAGGGAACAGAACCAGCGAAGCAGCUUCUCCAGCACUGAUAAGGUGCCUUCCAGGCAAGGAUCCAACUCAUAGACCAGCUGAAGGAACCUACCCCCGGUGGGCAGUCCGGCCACCCCAUUUCACAGCAGCUAACACACCCAGGGGUGGCUCUUCCCUUGACUGCAGUUGCAGGGGAGGGAAUGUCCCCAGAGAGUUGGGUGGGAAUAACUCUGGCUGAAGGAGGGGCUGGAUCCCACUAGCGCGACACCCGGGAGGCCGGAAGAUGCUCACAAAGGGUGGCUGAGGGACCGAUUUCCCUGCCAUACUCUGAGACGCUUGCCUGACGUGCCGUGAGUGACGCCAGUCAGCCCCUGCCAUGGGCUGUGGUGGCAGCCGGCCGGAUGGCGUGGAGCUGAGGUACCAGGAGAACUGGACCAAAGAGAUGGAGUCUACCUGGCUGAUGAGCACAGAUGCCGACAUCCCGCUCUCCGCCCUCCAGACCAUCCCACUGGAGAGCUCCCCUGGGGCCACCUUUGGCAGGGGAAAGAGCACGAUUCGCUCAGGAGAUUUCUUUGAUGAUGGGUUUCCUAACCCAGCGCAGGCCACUUGAAAGUUUGCUCCGUGAUGUCUGAUUUGUCCUUGAAUGAAACCAAACCUCCAGCUGGUGGAAGUCAAGUAACCCACAAGCCAUUGAAUGGACUCUUGCCCUCUGGAACAACAGUGCAGAAAAAAAGUGUGCUCUGUUCUGAGGAGACCAAGUAGUGAUCCAACCACAUGGCCAGCAAGCAAGUCACCAUCAUGGUGAUGCAGAGCAUCCAGCAGAUCGACUCAUCAUGGAGACUCAUAGGGACCUCCUGCAUCACCUAUGGGCUGGCAAACCCUGUGGGGCAGAAAGGAAAAGCCUAAUGCCAAUCUUACGUCAAUGUUUGGGCUCUGACAGGCAUCUUGUGGGCUAGCAGCAAAGACCACCUGCCCUGACCCAGUAGGAGACACAUUAACACUCCUUCCAUCUUGAUAGGCUCCUAGAAUAAUCCCUCCCAGUGCUGUAUGCUUUGGUUCAGGUCCCCGGUGCCUACACAGCCCAUUGUGGUGUGUGUGGGGGGGGGCAUGUACACAGACUGCUAUUGAUCUCUUCGUAGCAGGGUUUAUUCCUAGCUAGCUGACUCCAUGAGACCCACUGCCUUUUGAAGGAGUCUCUGCAGAGCCCAAAGAUCUGAGGCGCUAGACAAGGCACCCCGCCCCACCCUGUUCCUGCCUAGGAAUGAUCCUUGGACGGAUGGACGAGAGGACAGAAUUGCACCAGCAAGCUCUGCUGCCAACAGCCGAGCACCACCGCGUGGUCAACUCUGCAGUUCUUCUCCUUGCAAGGGAUAUUUCUUGGGGAGGAGCCCCCCCAGGUUAAUCCUCCAUGCUGUUUGUUUCCCUUUGCAAAAGCAAGGAGAGUCUGUCCCCUUCCCCAAGAGAAUGGGGGCAGCUGGACACUGGCCUUCCACACACCAGAGGCUCCAGGACUGGGGACUCCAUUCUGCAUCACACGUCACUAGUAGCUAAAUUCUGGCUGCAAAGUCUACACUAGAGAGGAGAAUGCGAGAGAUGGACAGAACACAGCUGUUUUUUCAAAGCCCUGGUGGACACUGGCUUGUACGCUGAACCCACCCAGACUUUGAUGAUAAUUAUAGCACUUCCACAGAGCUGCUCUCCGAACUAGACCCACCUUUUAAUCUUUGCUAGUCAAUGCCUGUCUGUAACUGAGGUGCGAAAUGCUCAUUAGCACUCCCUCAGCCCUCUGGGACCAGAUCUGCCACUGGGGGAAUUUGGCUUACCUCCACUGCAGACAAUGAGGCUGGGCCAAUGUGCACCAGCUGAGACAGAAUGGCUGGCUUUUUCCACUCGGCAGUCAGUCACAGCUCUAUUAGGAUCUGCCCAGUGCCCUAGAGAAUGCUGGGUACUAGACAGAGAGAACAGGGAGAUGAAGGCUGGGGCUCUCAAAAGGAACUAAGGUCCCUCCCAGUGAAAUUCAACUCCCUUAGGCCCUUUGAAUCUCUCAGCCAAGGCCCCUGCCCCAAGCACCAUGCAAUCAAAGAGCUUGAUCCUGCAAUCGCUGUCCACCAAGCACAGUGCUUAAUGCUAUGAGGGGUCUCCUGAACAGUGUAGUGCUCCUGGAGUCAGGGUUUGCACAGCCAGCCCUAAGGUUCUCGAUGAGAGGUGGGGGCGUGGGAGUGCGGGUGGGGAAAGGAGAAUGAGGAUUGAUAUGGUAUGUUGGUGUGAUCCCUUAGGGCAGUAACGUGCAUGUCUUGGUUGGUCCAUUUGAAAGUGACUGUGGAUCAUAUAUGGAACUCCACCCAUUUGUAUCUGGGUGAGAGCGCCAGCUUCUGGGCAGCUGCUCCCUGGCUUGGAGACCUGGGCUGCACAGGCCCUAGAGAAAGCAAAGUCUUAUGAUCAUGGGGCGAUGUUUUGGGCCAGGGGAGAAGGCAGGAGGUGAGGAUUGAGCAGGAGUGAGGGAACUGGUGUCAAGGAGGUUGAUACAUUGGAGGGGUCAGAGAAGAGUCACAAGAAUGAUUUAAGGAUUAGAGAACAUGCGCUAGAGCAGAGGUGGGCAAACUUUGUAUUGUGGGCAAUAC